CUGUGUUCAGUGGGGCUACAAGCCUGGUGCGUCGACAUGCAUCCCAUAAUAGCAUACACUAAAUAGAGAAAAGGGUAUUUUCAGUAUUUUCAAAUGAAGUUAAUAGUUUAUGAACACAUUUGUUAUUGUCUUUCCGACUAUGGUCAGCUAUUAAGAGAUAUAAUGGAGCGCUAUUAUGCAAGUACCCCCCUUGCAAACGCAUAGGAGAAAUGGGUGUUUUUAAGUAGCCUAUUCAACAGCAGAGCUCUUCCCGUCCCCCGUCUCAGACACUGCACUGAGACUCCCGGUCUUGUCUCCAGCUCUUUGAAAAGGUGAAACGAAUAAGAUUAAAUCGGACAAAGAAUAUUCUGUAAGUGUAUCAUUAAGAUUUUACUAUACAGAUUGGGAAGGGAGUUGGACGGAGAGAGAGAGAGUGGAAGGGGGGGGGACAGCGAAUAAGAGUAGAGGGAAAUAAGGCUAUAGCACGAAAACAGUGAGAAAAACGAGAAAGUGGACAGCAGGACAUUAAAAGAAGAAGCACCCAGCGACGAAUAUUAGGCUAUGGUGGACGGAAAACAUCGGUAACUGAAUUUGGCUAACACCUGCCAGGCAAUGAGCGACUGUGCAAACUGAUCGUGCCAUACUGAAAGGAACGUCAUGAAUGCUCCUCCACAGAAUCCUGCCACCUGUGUCAGUGAAAAUAAAAAGAAAGGCUAUUGGUAUUCCUCUUUGAGGCUGGUUAAGGUAAGUGCCAGCCCCCAUUACGAUGACAAGGCAAGUAAUGAUGCCGCUUGUUCCGCGGUUCCCCAUGAUUUAUUUAUGCUUUCCCAGGGAGUGAUCCUACCACCUCCAUCCCCAGUCCUACCCACUCGCGACAUUUUUUAAGAACACAUGCAGUCGCCACAGGUUAACGUCGGCGCCGCCAUUGCAUGUCUCAGGCGGACCAUACGGGAACGCAGGAGGCUGAUGCAAUGAUGUGCUGGGAUACCCUGAGUUUUAAUCACGUGUAACUGUAGCAUUACAGUCAGAGAAAGCAAAAGAAUUGUCCAAAUAAAAGAAUCAAU
ensembl:lncRNA